rnacentral:lncRNA from 1 species
CAAAUGAUUACCUAAAAUUACUUUUUAGUGGCUGAAGCACAAAGUGAUCAAGAUACAAACCUUAGGUAUAACAGUUUUAAUUUGGAGUUUGUCUGUAGUUUCUCAAAGAUGCUUGAGAGCAGAAUGUUGCCUGAACGAGCUACUCCCUACACUAACCAGAAGGUGACUGGACAAUUUACACAAGCAUCCUUAUUGACGGCAAGACUGAAGAAUCUUUUUAGUUGAUGCAAGCUCAUAUCUAGUCCUGUGAUGCAGAAGGACCACAAGUUGAAGCACAGAAGAAAGCUGGAGCCCCAGCACACAGGUUGGACACCUAACUCUUGAGGUACGUACAGAGGAAUCCUGGAAAACCUAAUGAAAGUGCAAAGUGAGGCUUUCAUCAGUGCAGAUACUUCAGCAUCUGACUGGUAAGAGGAUCAUUUACUGCCAAGAGAAAUUACAUCAGUUGCUUGCAAAUAUUCACCUCAUUUGGUCAUGAGCAUUGCACCUUAUGUAUCUGGUCCAUUUCUAGGGCAUCUUCCCCUAGGACACGAUGUAAAAAAAAGUGCAAGCCAGGUUUUGAAACCUGAGUGAGAGGCAGUAACCAUUCAGUCCUAUUUCAAGAACUCAAGUACACUGGCCAUGAGAAUCUUAGGAAAACUCUAAUAUGUAAAAAAUUCACUACGAUCCAAGUAGCUGGAGACAAAACAGCUUGGAACUACAUUACUCCUGUCCCUCACUGUUGAAUCUAACAAAGUUUUGAAGCAGAAACUAAGACCGUCACUCCUCCAUAUACAAACACACUAUAAGGACAGUUGUUCAAAAGGAGAAGGAAAGCUUUGACAGCCUGGAGCUGGCUUAUUUGGGCUGAACAGCUUUUGUAUGGCCAUCGUCGAGGAAAACGCUGGGCAUACGUUAGUCUGUCUUUUUUUUAAAACACAAACCUGUUUCUAACAGAAGAAUUUGUGCUUUUACCAUGUAUCACAGGCACUUAACUCCUUAGGCAGGCAGGCGGUGUGAUUUGUAUAAACCCAAAUCAUUAAAUAGCCCUUGGCCUUAAAGUGAGGCAAGUACCUGCCUGAGCUAUGUACUUAAAUUCUUAAGUGAGAAAACAAGGGGGGUAAGGUUAACAGAAGCCUCAGAGAGCUAAAAAAACAACCAAGCAAAACACCCAGGAGAACUCCUGAGUAGUACAUCCAGAAAGAAAUGGGAGAAAAUCUGAGAAGAGCAAACAAGGAGUUUUAUC